rnacentral:sRNA from 1 species
UAAUGCUAAAAUAACUACUGCCGCAUU